rnacentral:rRNA from 1 species
GACGGAGGAUGCAAGCGUUAUCCGGAAUUAUUGGGCGUAAAGCGUCCGCAGGUGGCUUUUCAAGUCUGUUGCCAAAGCGCGGGGCUUAACUCCGUACAGGCAAUGGAAACUGUGAAGCUAGAGUAUGGUAGGGGUAGAGGGAAUUCCCGGUGUAGCGGUGAAAUGCGUAGAUAUCGGGAAGAACACCAGUGGCGAAAGCGCUCUGCUGGACCAUAACUGACACUGAGGGACGAAAGCUAGGGGAGCGAAAGGG